rnacentral:rRNA from 1 species
CACGGGGGGAACGCGAAGAACCUUACCAGGGCUUGACAUGUAUUGUAACCCCGGUGAAAGCCGGGCAGCGUGGAAACACGCGCUUUACACAGGUGCUGCAUGGCUGUCGUCAGCUCGUGUCGUGAGAUGUUGGGUUAAGUCCCGCAACGAGCGCAACCCUUAUGAUUUGUUGCCACCGGCUUUCGCCGAGCACUCAAGUCAGACUGCCCAGAUUAACUGGGAGGAAGGUGGGGAUGACGUCAAGUCCGUAUGGCCCUUACGUCCAGGGCUGCACACGUACUACAAUGUCCAGUACAAAAUGAUCUGAAGCUGCGAAGCGGAAGAAAUCACGAAAACUGGGCUCAGUUCAGAUUGCAGGCUGCAACUCGCCUGCAUGAAGUCGGAAUCGCUAGUAAUGGUACAUCAGCAACGGUACCGUGAAUACGUUCCCGGGUCUUGUACACACGC